rnacentral:rRNA from 1 species
UACGUAGGGUGCGAGCGUUGUCCGGAAUUAUUGGGCGUAAAGAGCUCGUAGGCGGCUUGUCGCGUCGACUGUGAAAUCCCGCGGCUCAACCGCGGGUCUGCAGUCGAUACGGGCAGGCGUAGAGGCAGGUAGGGGAGAACGGAAUUCCCGGUGUAGCGGUGAAAUGCGCAGAUAUCGGGAGGAACACCGGUGGCGAAGGCAGCCCCCUGGGUCAAGAUUGACGCUCAUGCACGAAAGCGUGGGGAGCAAACAGG